CAGUAUACUUUCCAUGGAGGACUGGCUGGGGAGUUCCGUACAAAACCUCUAUGGAAAAGACUCAGUUUAAGAACUGCUGAUGGAGGAAUGAACAGAUAGUGUGAUCUGCAAACGGACUGGAAGUUUGUUGAACUUGUUGACGCUGUUGGAGAGAGCUGGGGGUGUGCAAGAAGAUGAGAGGACGGGGACAAAGCCAGGACAGCAGACCCAAACUGGCCUAAGGGAUGCCCCAUACUGUAUGGUGUCAUGUUGAGCAAUGAAACUGGAGGAGUUGGCUGGGGGAAUGCCAGUGUUUCGAGUCUGGCUGGACAUUGGUUGGCUGGUGAAAAAAUCCUACAUUCUUGUUCUGGAAAUCAACAGGAGUUAUCAAAAGCUUGUUUUCUGAAAUAAGACUAACAUUGUAAGUAUAAUUUCUUAAGUUUAUCCUGCUUAACAUAUUUGGUUCAAUGACAAAAACUA
rnacentral:lncRNA from 1 species